rnacentral:rRNA from 1 species
UGCAGUCGAACGGGANCCNGGCUUCGGCCUGGUGAGAGUGGCGGACGGGUGAGUAACGCGUGGGAACCUGCCCAAUGGUCUGGGAUAACCGCGGGAAACUGCGGCUAAUACCGGAUAAGCCCGAGAGGGGAAAGAUUUAUCGCCGAUGGAGGGGCCCGCGUCAGAUUAGGUAGUUGGUGGGGUAAUGGCCUACCAAGCCUACGAUCUGUAGCUGGUCUGAGAGGAUGAUCAGCCACACUGGGACUGAGAUACGGCCCAGACUCCUACGGGAGGCAGCAGUGGGGAAUAUUGGACAAUGGGGGCAACCCUGAUCCAGCAAUGCCGCGUGAGUGAUGAAGGCCUUAGGGUUGUAAAGCUCUUUUGGCGGGGACGAUGAUGACGGUACCCGCAGAAUAAGCCCCGGCUAACUUCGUGCCAGCAGCCGCGGUAAUACGAAGGGGGCGAGCGUUGUUCGGAAUUACUGGGCGUAAAGGGCGCGUAGGCGGCGACCCAAGUCAGAUGUGAAAGUCCUGGGCUUAACCUGGGGACUGCAUUUGAUACUGGGUUGCUUGAAUUCGGGAGAGGAUAGCGGAAUUCCCAGUGUAGAGGUGAAAUUCGUAGAUAUUGGGAAGAACACCGGUGGCGAAGGCGGCUAUCUGGACCGACAUUGACGCUGANGCGCGAAAGCGUGGGGAGCAAACAGGAUUAGAUACCCUGGUAGUCCACGCCGUANACGAUGAAUGCUAGACGCUGGGGAGCAUGCUCUUCGGUGUCGCAGCUAACGCAUUAAGCAUUCCGCCUGGGGAGUACGGUCGCAAGAUUAAAACUCNAANGAAUUGACNGGGGCCCGCACCAGCGGUGGANCAUGUGGUUUAAUUC